UACAGAGGGUGCGAGCGUUACUCGGAAUUACUGGGCGUAAAGCGCGCGUAGGCGGCUUUGCAAGUCGGGUGUGAAAUCCCCAGGCUUAACCUGGGAACUGCAUUCGAGACUGCAUUGCUAGAGUAUGGGAGAGGGAAGUGGAAUUUCCGGUGUAGCGGUGAAAUGCGUAGAUAUCGGAAGGAACAUCAGUGGCGAAAGCGACUUCCUGGACCAAUACUGACGCUGAGGAGCGAAAGCCAGGGGAGCAAACGGG
rnacentral:rRNA from 1 species